UUUAAAUAUAGAUGUAAAUUUUCAUAUCCAACGUUUAAUCGUCCAUCUUAUUUAAAAUUCUUUUAUAAUUGUUAUUAUAUAAUAAAACAUAAAUAGUACUUUAUGCAUGACUUAAUUUUUUAAUUUUUUUUAUAAAUUUUCAAAUAAGGUGGACAAUCAAACGUUGGAUAUGAAAACUCACAUCUACAUUUACA
rfam:Oryza sativa Japonica Group DNA, chromosome 2, cultivar: Nipponbare, complete sequence.